UCCUACGGGAGGCAGCAGUGGGGAAUAUUGCACAAUGGGCGCAAGCCUGAUGCAGCCAUGCCGCGUGUAUGAAGAAGGCCUUCGGGUUGUAAAGUACUUUCAGCGAGGAGGAAGGCAUUAAGGUUAAUAACCUURGUGAUUGACGUUACUCGCAGAAGAAGCACCGGCUAACUCCGUGCCAGCAGCCGCGGUAAUACGGAGGGUGCAAGCGUUAAUCGGAAUUACUGGGCGUAAAGCGCACGCAGGCGGUUKRUUAAGUCAGAUGUGAAAUCCCCGAGCUUAACUUGGGAACUGCAUUUGAAACUGGYMAGCUAGAGUCUUGUAGAGGGGGGUAGAAUUCCAGGUGUAGCGGUGAAAUGCGUARAGAUCUGGAGGAAUACCGGUGGC
rnacentral:rRNA from 1 species